CCUUGGGAGCAAAGAUUGGUGAAGCGUUACUAUGACAAGCUUUUCAAAGAGUACUGCAUAGCUGAUAUGACGAAGUACAGAAGUGGCAAGAUUGGUCUAAGAUGGAGGACAGAGAAAGAAGUCAUAUCUGGGA